rnacentral:rRNA from 1 species
UGGGGAAUAUUGCACAAUGGGGGAAACCCUGAUGCAGCGACGCCGCGUGAGUGAAGAAGUAUUUCGGUAUGUAAAGCUCUAUCAGCAGGGAAGAUAAUGACAGUACCUGACUAAGAAGCCCCGGCUAACUACGUGCCAGCAGCCGCGGUAAUACGUAGGGGGCAAGCGUUAUCCGGAUUUACUGGGUGUAAAGGGAGCGUAGACGGAAUGGCAAGUCUGAAGUGAAAUACCCGGGCUCAACCUGGGAACUGCUUUGGAAACUGUUGUUCUAGAGUGUUGGAGAGGUAAGUGGAAUUCCUGGUGUAGCGGUGAAAUGCGUAGAUAUCAGGAAGAACACCGGAGGCGAAGGCGGCUUACUGGACAAUAACUGACGUUGAGGCUCGAAAGCGUGGGGAUCAAACAGGAUUAGAUACCCUGGUAGUCCACGCUGUAAACGAUGAAUACUAGGUGUCGGGGUGUAAAGCAUCUCGGUGCCGUCGCUAACGCAAUAAGUAUUCCACCUGGGGAGUACGUUCGCAAGAAUG